rnacentral:rRNA from 1 species
GAUGAACGCUGGCGGCGUGCCUAAUACAUGCAAGUCGAGCGAACAGACGAGGAGCUUGCUCCUCUGACGUUAGCGGCGGACGGGUGAGUAACACGUGGAUAACCUACCUAUAAGACUGGGAUAACUUCGGGAAACCGGAGCUAAUACCGGAUAAUAUAUUGAACCGCAUGGUUCAAUAGUGAAAGACGGUUUUGCUGUCACUUAUAGAUGGAUCCGCGCCGCAUUAGCUAGUUGGUAAGGUAACGGCUUACCAAGGCAACGAUGCGUAGCCGACCUGAGAGGGUGAUCGGCCACACUGGAACUGAGACACGGUCCAGACUCCUAAGGGAGGCAGCAGUAGGGAAUCUUCCGCAAUGGGCGAAAGCCUGACGGAGCAACGACGCGUGAGUGAUGAAGGUCUUCGGAUCGUAAAACUCUGUUAUGAGGGAAGAACAAAUGUGUAAGUAACUAUGCACGUCUUGACGGUACCUAAUCAGAAAGCCACGGCUAACUACGUG